UACGUAGGGAGCAAGCGUUGUCCGGAAUCAUUGGGCGUAAAGCGCGCGUAGGUGGCCAUGUAAGUCCGCUGUGAAAGUCAAAGGCUCAACCUUUGAAAGCCGGUGGAUACUGCACGGCUAGAGGACGGUAGAGGGGGGUAGAAUUGGCUGGUAUAGCGGUGAAAUGCGCAGAUAUCGGGAGGAACACCGGUGGCGAAGGCGGUGCACUGGUGGAUUACUGGACGCUGAGGUGCGAAAGCCAGGGGAGCAA
rnacentral:rRNA from 1 species